AAAUAAGAAGCAAUCCGCAAAUGCAUUUAAUUUCGACUUAAAAGAAAGAGUAAAACCACUCCUUAUUUA
rnacentral:tRNA from 1 species